UACGUAGGGGGCAAGCGUUGUCCGGAAUCAUUGGGCGUAAAGAGCGUGUAGGCGGCCAGAUAAGUCCGCUGUGAAAUCUCGAGGCUCAACUUCGAGCUGUCGGUGGAAACUGUCUGGCUAGAGUCCGGAAGAGGAGAAUGGAAUUCCUGGUGUAGCGGUGAAAUGCGCAGAUAUCAGGAAGAACACCCGUGGCGAAGGCGGGUCUCUGGGACGGUACUGACGCUGAGACGCGAAAGCGUGGGGAGCGAACAGG
rnacentral:rRNA from 1 species